rnacentral:rRNA from 1 species
UACAGAGGUCUCAAGCGUUGUUCGGAUUCAUUGGGCGUAAAGGGUGCGUAGGUGGCGCCGUAAGUCAGGUGUGAAAUUUCGGAGCUUAACUCCGAAACUGCAUUUGAUACUGCGGUGCUUGAGGACUGGAGAGGAGACUGGAAUUUACGGUGUAGCAGUGAAAUGCGUAGAGAUCGUAAGGAAGACCAGUGGCGAAGGCGGGUCUCUGGACAGUUCCUGACAGCUGAGGCACGGAAGGCCCAGGGGAGCAAAACGGG